rnacentral:rRNA from 1 species
CCUUAACCUGCUAAAUAGUAGCGUUCACUUUGGUGGACGUCGACUUCUUAGAGGGACUGUGGACGUCAAGUCCAUGGAAGUUUGAGGCAAUAACAGGUCUGUGAUGCCCUUAGAUGUUCUGGGCCGCACGCGCGCUACACUGACGAUGGCAACAAGUGAUCUCCUUGUCCGGAAGGACCGGGUAAUCUUUUGAAACAUUGUCGUGCUGGGGAUAGUCCCUUGCAAUUAUUGGACUUGAACGAGGAAUUCCUAGUAAGCGCGAGUCAUCAGCUCGCGUUGAUUACGUCCCUGCCCUUUGUACACACCGCCCGUCGCUACUACCGAUUGAAUGGCUUAGUGAGACCUCCGGAUCGACGCCAGCUGAACGGCAACGUUUGGCGGGUGUUGAGAAGUUGGUCAAACUUGGUCAUUUAGAGGAAGUAAAAGUCG